rnacentral:rRNA from 1 species
GACGAACGCUGGCGGCGUGCUUAACACAUGCAAGUCGAACGGUGAAGGUGGAGCUUGCUCCGCCGGAUCAGUGGCGAACGGGUGAGUAACACGUGGGCAACCUGCCCCUCACUUCGGGAUAACUCCGGGGAACCGGGGCUAAUACCGGAUACGACCUCCUUGGGCAUCCUUGGAGGUGGAAAGUUUUUCGGUGAGGGAUGGGCCCGCGGCCUAUCAGCUUGUUGGUGAGGUAGUGGCUCACCAAGGCGACGACGGGUAGCCGGCCUGAGAGGGCGACAGGCCAGACUGGGACUGAGACACGGCCCAGACUACUACGGGAGGCAGCAGUGGGGAAUAUUGCGCAAUGGGCGAAAGCCUGACGCAGCAACGCCGCGUGCGGGAUGAAGGCCUUCGGGUUGUAAACCGCUUUCAGCAGGGAAGAAGCCGCAAGGUGACGGUACCUGCAGAAGAAGCACCGGCUAACUACGUGCCAGCCGCCGCCGUAA